rnacentral:rRNA from 1 species
ACAUGCAAGUCGAGCGGGGAUUAAUGAGGUGCUUGCACCGAUUUAAUUCUAGCGGCGGACGGGUGAGUAACGCGUGAGCAAUCUGUCCCGUACAGGGGGAUAACACUUGGAAACAGGUGCUAAUACCGCAUAAGACCACGAGGCGACAUCGCCAUGGGGUAAAAGAGAUUCGGUACGGGGUGAGCUCGCGUCCGAUUAGCUAGUUGGAGGGGUAACGGCCCACCAAGGCGACGAUCGUUAGCCGGACUGAGAGGUUGAACGGCCACAUUGGGACUGAGACACGGCCCAGACUCCUACGGGAGGCAGCAGUGAGGAAUAUUGGGCAAUGGGCGCAAGCCUGACCCAGCAAUGCCGCGUGAAGGAAGACGGUUUUCGGAUUGUAAACUUCUUUUAAGAGGGACGAUAAUGACGGUACCUCUUGAAUAAGCCACGGCUAACUACGUG